AACUCAGACUUUAGUUACCUGGCUGAUAUCACCUGUUCUGACACUGAAAACCCUGAAUAAGGUGGAACUACUCAGAGUAGCAGCUUUCUACUCAGGGCAGAUCGGACAUUAUUUCUAAAACGGGCCGGAUGACGUCAAACCCCAGCUCGCUUCUACCGUAAUACACUUUGUGUGCGCCGGGCUAAUUAUUAGCAGCGAGCUAACAUCCGCCGUUCUGACUGUAAAUGGUCCCUCAGCCGCAGCUGGAGGUGAGAUGAUGGAGUGUGGAAGCAUCAAACCUGAUGUGUGCAGCAGAUGUUGGGGGCUGAAAGCAGCAUCCAGGAUGUGGUGUCUCUGCUCCUCUGCUGCAUCCAGUCGCUGCUUGACCUGCUGUCUCCACAUCUCUGCUAGCUUUUCUCUCUCCAAACUUUCCUUUAACACUUCCUGAGCAGUUCCAGCUGAGCUUCAAGCCGUUUCUCUUCUUUCCACAGUUCACCAACUGCUGCUCUUUCUAUCUUCCAGCUUUAUUAACUCUCCCGCUGCUGCUCCGUGGACAAAAACCCAACAAAACACGAACGACGA